UCGCUCGGCGCGGCUCCCGGGGAGGAGGGCUGGCAGGCGGGUGGGGGUUCGCCUGUCCCCCCCUAGCCGGCGGCCCGGAGAGAAUGACCUCUGGCCCCUGUGGCCAGGCGGCUGCGUCUGGGGAGGGCCCUCCCUGACCACCAGGUGAAACCAGCCUCCUCGGGGGAGGGCUCUUGCCUCUGAACUGCAGAGAAAUCUGGAGCCAAGUCGUUAAGGCGCGAGUAGCAGGGAAUGGCAGCUGCUUGGCAGGCAGCAGAGAGCAAGGAAGCUGAAGGAGGACAGAGAGUGAGGACCUGGGCUUAAGUCUAGAAAAUAGAAUUAAAUACGAAGUAACAAAGACGCUUACCACUGAAAGAGCGUAGAGACAAAACGCAGGAGGAAAAGUUCAUCAUGAUGCUUGUCCCAUGUCCCUGCCCUACCUCAGUCCCUACUCACCUGCUGUGUCUUAAACUCACUACCCCCAGUCCUACCCCGCUCCCCUCCGCCAGUGGCCAGGCGGGCUGGCCAAGGGCCCUGCCACCGGUGACACCAUAGCUACUAGGGUGAGACUCUGCUUAGAAAGAACAUGUUUUGGGAACCACAGCUCCGUGUGAGGAGCCGCAACAUACCUGUGGCCCUCUGCUGCCUGCCUCACCCAUCCCAGCACCCUGGGGCCCUUGCACACCACUUAGACCUCCAGGGCUCGGGGCCUGAAGUGAGGCCCCUCCAGGCCAACCUGCGAACAUUGCUCUUGCCCCCCAGGCUGGAAGAGCCAGGGAGGAGUUGGGAGGCCUGCUCACAGCUUCUGGUGGAGAUGCGGGUCACCUCCAGUCUGGGUGCAGUGGGCUCCUCUGGGCUUGCUGAACUGGCAUUACCCAUAGCUAGUGCGCUCAGGAGCAGUUUGCCAGGCUCUCGGGGGGCCUGUCUGUGAAUAAGCUGAAGAAGGGUCACUGUGGAUGAACCCAGGCAGUGCUCCCCAAGUGCCAGCCAUUGUUCCUUUUCACACCUGGGUCUCAGGAUGUGGUGAGAUAGAGCAGGGAAAUGGGACAAGUGUGUACUGUUUUAUCAAAUAAACUCCUUCAUAAGCUGA